rnacentral:rRNA from 1 species
CCUACGGGCGGCAGCAGUGGGGGAUAUUGCACAAUGGAGGAAACUCUGAUGCAGCGACGCCGCGUGAGGGAAGAAGGUCUUCGGAUUGUAAACCUCUGUCUUCAGGGACGAAACAAAUGACGGUACCUGAGGAGGAAGCCACGGCUAACUACGUGCCAGCAGCCGCGGUAAUACGUAGGUGGCAAGCGUUGUCCGGAAUUACUGGGUGUAAAGGGAGCGCAGGCGGGGAAGCAAGUUGGGAGUGAAAUCUAUGGGCUUAACCCAUAAAUUGCUUUCAAAACUGUUUUUCUUGAGUAGUGCAGAGGUAGGCGGAAUUCCCGGUGUAGCGGUGGAAUGCGUAGAUAUCGGGAGGAACACCAGUGGCGAAGGCGGCCUACUGGGCACCAACUGACGCUGAGGCUCGAAAGUAUGGGUAGCAAACAGGAUUAGAUACCCCA